rnacentral:lncRNA from 1 species
AUCGAUGUCGAUAAUUUCUCUCACACUUCAGCAAUAUUUUGUCAAAGUAUUGCUAUAAUAUCGCUAUAAUAUCGACAAUAAUAUCGAAAAAUAUCAAUGUCGAUAAUUUCUCUCACACUUCAGCAAUAUUUUGUCAAAGUAUUGCUAUAAUAUCGAAAAUAUCGACGUAACGGAAAAAAUAAAAAAUAAAAAAACACAAAGCACACACAAAGGGGAUUCAAGCUCUUGCCAUUUCACUCCUCCAAUGCCUUAACCACUAUGUUGCUUAUGUUUUUGUGAUUACAUGCUAAAAUGAAUAUUUAUAUUGUUUUGUUUUGAACUGUUUUUGCAAGAAUCAGAUUUUCAUAUGAGAAUGUGAGUCUCCUUUCCUUUUGGGAUGGAAUCGAGCGGCUCAUACAAAAAAUCCGAGACCCAAUCUUCAAAGGAUUUUGCUUAUAGACAACGUCAACCAAUCUCGG